GGGUGAUGAAAUGGAAGAGUCCAUUUCACUUUGGACUCUUAAUUCCUCUCUUUUCCGUAUGUUUCCUUUACUCCACGUGCCAUGAGACGGUUUCUGGAGAUUUGUUGGUGCAGAAGUGGAGGAGUCCUACUUGAAGGCUCUUCCACACCUAGAACUUCUAUAUGAAGAAUUUAUUCUUUGUGGAAGACUAGGGGAUAAUGCAUGGGAUU
rnacentral:lncRNA from 1 species